rnacentral:piRNA from 1 species
UGAAAAUGAAGCAAUCAAGCAAACAUGGUCC